rnacentral:rRNA from 1 species
UCGGACGGGGUGGAGUAACGACGUGGGUAACCGUAGCCUCAUACAGGGGAGUAACAAGUUAGUAAAUAGACUGCUAAUAACCGCCAUAAGACGCACGAGAUCGCAAUGAUAAAGUGUGAAAAACUCCGGUGGUAUGAGAUGGACCCGCGUCUGAUUAGCUGGUUGGCGGGGUAACGGCCCACCAAGGCGACGAUCAGUAGCCGACCUGAGAGGGUGACCGGCCACAUUGGGACUGAGACACGGCCCAAACUCCUACGGAAGGCAGCAG